CAUAGUUUUUGCUCAAUACAUAUAAAUUAACGAAAUGCGAAUAGGGCAAAAAAUAAAGCAAUGUAUGACGAGAAGAAAACAAAAAAUAGUCUUGCAAUAUUCUUUGAAAAAUUAUAUUUUUGAAGGCUAAACGUAGCCUAAGUUAUUUAGCUCACUAUGACUGGAGAUGACCUAACACCUAGGCUCUUGCAUUUGGAAACAACAUGAGGAUUGCAGGUUAGAGAAGGGUUGAUGAUUCUAGUAUUGCAAAUGAGACAGGAGUCUCAUGGGAUUACAAGAACACCAAUAAUGUUCUUUUUUUCGGUUGUGAAUAAUGAUAAACAUCAUUUGCACACACAAAACUGACCAUUUAUUAGAAAAUGUGAGCAAAUAUGUCAUUUUGUACAAUAUCAUUGCCCCAAGAACAAAUAUUAGAACAAAAACUAUCUUGCAACAACUAAAUUGAGAAAUGGCUAGUUUGUAAGAACUAGAAAAAUGAUGGUUUUGUUUUUGUUAACCCAAUAGCAACGCUUUCUAUAGGUCUGUUAGGCAAAGCUUUUCCAUAAAUGAAUCCCAGCCAAAACCAAAACCAAAAAGAAAAAGGAAAAAGGAAAAAGGAAAAAGGAAAAAGGAAAAGUAAAGUAGGCCGACAACUACUUUGGCUAAAGCUAGUAGGUAGGACUGUCCGAUCCUUGCCUUGCGAAAGUUAGGUUUACCACCUCCUGGCAUGGUUUGGGAGCUUUAUUUGUUUAAUAUCCUCCUGAGAAUGCAAGCCUCCGCCGAUGUCAAUAAAGUGUGGAGUUAUAGAAAGAUGAGUGUGCGGGGUGCAAAGCCAAGAGUUUGUGCAUAGCACCAAAGAGUGCAAACAUGUUGAGAGAAGCUCUUCCAUCCGAUCUGGUCAUGACCAACAGAGGGGGAGAGAGAAAGCGAUCAGCGUCAACGCUUCUCAAGCAUUUGAGGAGUCGAGGACUUGUAUAUAUCAUUGCAUUUUCUGAAAAGUUAUGCAUCCGGAACAUGGUGUUUGGAUAAACUUGGUAAGAUCCUUCAAUGUAAAGAAUUUUCAAAGAAAUGAUAAGUUUGGCAAAUUUUUUACAAGGUGAAUCACGGAAGCACAAAAAUCAAAGGAAAAUUCUGGUACUUCUAAGGGAUUCAGCUUGUGAAAAAUUGAUCAAAUCUUUUGUUGCUUUAAAUAUUAUUUACACUCACGUAUAUUAGCAAGUUCAUUCAAACACCAUGUUAAGGAUGCAUAAUUUUCACAAAAUACAAUGAUUCAAGUCCUUGACUCCUCAAUUGCUUUGAGAAACUUUGAUGGUGAUAUUUCUUUUCCGUUUGGAAGCUCACUAUCAUCUAUGAAGGUUAAUCACCUUAUGAACCAAAUUGCUAUACAGAUGGUUUGUAAAGUUGUAGCGUGUAUCGCCAUGAAUAGGUAAUCUACUCCAUAUUGUUUGGUACGGUGGUGGUAAGUGGUAACAUAUUGGGAUCUCUCUCUCUCUCUCACUCUCUCUCUCUCUCUCUCUCUCUCUCCCCCCCCCCCCCAAUUCAUGGUGAUAUGAUGUAUUUAUACACACACAUAAAUAGCUGAAAAAGGAUUGAUGGAACGAAGGCAAUUUUGGCUUACCUUGAAACAAAGUUGAAAAAGUUUGAAGGGUGGAUUGGUUGUUCCUUUACUUUUUGUUUUAUUGGCUUACCUUCAUGUAUAAGUAGUAUUGAUACCCUCUCACACAUACAUAUAUGUAUCCCUACAACAUAACUCUGAUACAUGUUAUCAUAUAAAUUCAUAUGGACACAAUAUAUUAGCAGUAUUGAGAAAAUCUCUUGAUAAAAACAAAAACACAAUUGAUUUCUGAGCAAUAUUUGAAUACUUAUGUCCCUUUCUUAAUUGCAAUAGUUAGGCUGCAGCAAACAGUAAUUCGGUUGCUUGAUUAUGUUGGGAAUAAAAGUUAUCAAUGCUACGGAAACAGAGAAGUGAGAACAAACUGAACCAGAUUCACAAAAACAGAUGAGAACUUUGUUGUGUGACCGCAAGCUGUGGUGCCCAUGUAAUAAUGCCGGAGGAUGAACACACAAAGAAGAGGUAUCAGGGAUAACGAAGGUGGUGAAGAUAAUGAAGGCCGACUGGCCAAGGUCCAUGAGGAUGAAGAUUCUGCAUUAUGUUUUUUUUUUUUUUCCAGAAGUGAAGCUUGAAGGUUGCUGUUUGGUUCUACCUUUGUGUUUCUGUUGGCGCUUUGCGUGUUCCCUCAUCUUGGAGAGAAGGAAAGAAGAAAAUAAGGAGUUGCAAUCAUGAUUGAAGGUUGUAAUUAAGUUUACAUUUGUUUCUUCUUUUGGUGGAAAUUUAAGUUCCUUUGCAAAAUAAAUAGAAUACGAUCAGACGAGAUUAUUCUCGAUAACAAUCUAUGUAGGAGGCAUAACACCCACCCUUGCCCGAAGAAAGGGGACCAAUACUUCCCGGGAAAAAAAGGCUCAGUUAGAUUAUCC